ACUAUCGGAUAUCAAGGAAGGCGAGUCCAAUUUAGUAGCAAUGGCUGUUGUUUAAUACGGGCCAACUUCCGAGUGGGGUUAAUUUCAGGCCAGCAGUCAAGCUCAGGUCCAUGGAUAUGACAACGCACGCGCAUAAAGCUAGAUAUUCAAUUUGGUGACGUCAAAAAAAAGUCCAAAAUGGCGCCUACUCUGAGAGACGCGAUACACGUCCCCUUCUUAGUUCAUUUCUACGUUCAGAAGUUUCCUUGUCCUUCAAAAACUAUAGAGGCUUGCUGCAGAACAAUAAGAAGUGUACGAAAAUAUGAGGUCUGUGUAACUUAUGCGUGCAACUCAGUGGUAAAACAUUUGAAGUUCGGUGUGUUUCAGUUCCGGCCCGCAUAUCUUCCCGACGAAACACCGGAUAUCUUGAAAAACAAGACCAAUGGAGAACAAACUACCUUCUAAACAUUAAGAUGCCAGUUGUAAGGCAAAAUGUCAUAGAAAGCAGGAACGGUUCAGAUCUGCGACACAACAGCAGUUCAAAUGAAAUUUUUAACUCCAUAUUAAUCUGACAACAAAGAGAUCCUUCGCUGUAACAAUCUUGGCUUGAGGAAAAACGGUGCAAUAUUUUGGGUAGCUCCGUAUCUAAGUGCCUAUAUAUCGUGAGAGCUUUAAUCGUAAACUUCAUGAGAUGUUCAUGGAAUUUGAGCUUUUCUAGGUGAUAUAUCAGUAAACUCGGUUUUAUUGAAUGGCAAUCUCUGAAGGAGCUUCGUUCCCAAAUCACCAUGUUUA